rfam:Culex pipiens quinquefasciatus supercont3.281 genomic scaffold, whole genome shotgun sequence.
GGCUCCGUGGCUUAAUGGUUACGGCUUCUACCUCACAAGCAGAAGGUUCAGGGAUCAAAUCCCGGUCGGUACCU